UCUUUUGAUUGGAGCAUUUCAUCGAUUUACUUCUAAAGUUAUUAUUGAUAGGUAUGUACUCAUUGGUAUUUUGUUGUUUCCUAGUUAUUUUUUCUGUUCCUUUCUUAUUCUCUUGCUCUCUAACCUUGUGAUUUGAUGACUUUCUUUAGUGUUAUGCUUGCAGUCCUUUCUCUUUUUUUUUUAUGCAUCUAUUGUCAGUUUUUAGCUCAUGGAUACCAUGAGGCUCUUAUGUGAUAACCCAUGUAUAUAGCGGUCUAUUUUAAGUUGAAGGUCACUUAAGCUUGAGCACAUUCUAAAAGCACUACAUAUGUACACCCCCGCCCUCCUGCUAUGUUUUAAGUUUUUGAUAUCAUAUUUACUAUGACGUCAUAAUACUAUUUGACGUCUUAUUUUGUGUAUCCCUUGACUAAUUAUUAUAGAUAUAUAUGAUUUUACUAGUUUUGUUUUUAACUUUCAUACUAGAUACAUAGGUGGUUGAUCCACUACUUUUACCAUAUAUUUGCCUUUAUUGGUGAGAUUUUUUUCUUUCAUAAUUUUCAUAUUUCUAGCUAUGAUUUUUUAAUUUUCUGUUUAAAGAAGUCUCUUUAACAUGUUUUGUAAGGUCUGUUUAGUCAUGAUGAACUCCUUUAGUUUUUCCUUGUGUAGGAAACUCUUUAGUUCUCCUUAAUUCUGAGUGAUAAACUUGCUGGAUAGAGUAUUCUUGGUUGUAAGUUUUUUUUUCCUUUUACUACUUUGAAUAUGUCAUGCCACUCCCUUCUGAACUAUAAAGUUUCUGCUCAGAAGUCAGCUGAUAAUCUUAUGAGGGCUCCCCUAUUUGUAACUAUGGUUUCCUCUCUCUGUUUUUAAAGUUCUCUCUUUGUAUUUAACUUUUGACCUUGUAAUUAUAAUGUGUCUUGGUGUGAGUCCCUUUGGGUUCACCUUGUUUGGGACUUUCUGUGCUUCCUGGACUUGAAUGUCUAUUUCUUUCAUCAGGUUGAGGAAGUAUUCAGCCAUAAUCUCUUCAAAUAGGUUUUCUUCUCCUUCUUGGACCUCUAUAAUGUGAAUGUUAGUAUGCUUGAUGUUGUCCCAGAGGUCUCUUAAACUAUUCUCUUUUUUUUUUUUUGCUAUUCCAGUUUGGUGAUUUUUAGUAGCCUUUCUUCCACAUUACUGGUCUGUUCUUCUGUAUCAUUUAAUCUGCUGGUGGUUCCCUCUAGUAUAUUUUUCAUUUCAGUUAUUGUAUUCCUUAGCUCUGAUUGGUUCUUUUUUAUAUUUUCUGUCUUUUUGUUGAAGUUCUCAUUGUGUUCCUCCUUUCCUCUCCUGAGUUCAGAGAGUUUUUAUAAUGACUAAUAUUUUGAACUGUUUAUCAGGAAGAUUGCUUAUCUCCAUUUCAUUUAGUUAUUUUUCUAAGGUUAUGUCUUACUCUUUCACUUGGAACAUAUUCAUUUGUCUCUUCAUUUUGCCUAACUCUAUGAGUUUGUUUCAGGUAUUAGUUAUAUCAGCUACAUUUCCUAGAUUUAAAAGUGUGGCUUUGUGUAGAAGGUGUCCUGGGGCAGCACAGUAGUGCCAUUCCCCCAGCUGCUAGAGUCACUCCAGGAGUGUCCUUUGUAUGAGCUGUGUAUCUGGGCUGCAAAUGCUGUGGACACACUAAUGUGUGGGGUUGAGCCCUGUUACAACUGGCUAUAUGGCCUGGUCACAACUGCUUGUAGGUACUCUGAUAGGUAGGCUCAGACCCUGGGAAGGAGCCACUUUGGGGGGAUGCCAGUACCAGACAAGUGCCUCUCCAAGACUGGUGGGGAGGGGGUUGUUUUGUAGGGGGCUACACUGUUGGGUGAGAGCACCUGCCAGAACUGGCAGGAUUGGGGGCUACUUUGGAGGGACUCCAGUCCCAGCUGAGGGUACCCACAGGGUCUGGCCAGGGGUGGGGUUGUUUUGGAGAAGCUCCAGUGCUGGCCAAGGGUACCCACCAGGACUGGUGAGGCAGAGGGGACACUUUGGAGGAGUGUCACUGGGUUGGGCCCACAGGUGACCCUAGGGGGAGCAAGCAGUUCUAGUCAGUCAGAUGGGGAGAGUCAGAAAUGGUGCCUGCUAGCACCAGGUCAGCCAGGUAGGUGAGCCCUCCCCACCAAAAAAUAAAUAAAUAAAUAAAAUGCCUGCCAGCUCCUUUGUAGCCAGAGAAAGUUCCAACAGAUCCCUUCCCCUUAGCACCUGCCCUAAAAUUAGUCAGUGAAUCUCCUUCAGGUGCUUUUCAGACUGCUGCCUCUGUGCUGGGACUCAGGGUGAGUUUUUGCAUGAGACUUUGAAAAGCAGAGUCUCGGUUUCCUAUAGACGUCUGGCUCUCCUAGACAUAAGCCUCCUUAGUUUUCAAAGUCAAAUGUUAUAGGGGCAUAUCUUCCCAGUGCAAGCUCCCCAGGCUGGGGAGCCUGACAUGGAGUUUGGAAUAGGAGAGUCUAGGAUUUCUCAGAUUGGGGAGAGGACCAUAGAAAGGAGAGGAAGGACAUGGGAGGGGGAGAUCUGCAGGGACUGUAUGAAAUUAAUAAUUUUUUGUCCCCUCAUGUAGGAUUUUGAUGCCCAGGUGAGAGUAUUUCAAGAAGGAAGGUGGAUCCUUUUCAGUUGACUGCUGCUGAGAGGAGCAUUGAAAAAUGGCUUUUGGAUUUGGUGAAAGCUUUAGUAAGGGUUACUGGGGUAGUGUGAUGCUGAUAGAAACAGACUAGAGUGGGUUAAGGAGGGAGAGGAAGGUGAGAACGAAGCGAUGAGAAUGGCCACCCACUAUAGAAUUCUGGCUGUGUAGAAGAGAAGAGAGUUAAGCAGAAGCCAUGGGUACUGUGGAGAUAGGACAAGGCUGGUUGUUGUUUUGAAAUGGAGAAAAGAAAAAGAAAAUGCUUAGUGUAGGUUCCCAGAUGAAGCAGCAGGGAAUAGAAUCCAAAGCACAGGCAGAGGCACUGGCCUUAGACUGUUGGAUGACACAUUCUGGAUCAAGCCAGGAGAGAAGGAGAAAAGCCUAGACUUUGAUGGUAUGCUUGCUGUUUACUUAGAAACUUAAGAAUCAGUUCAUUUGGAUUAUUUUGUGUUAUUGUUAUAUUUUUCUCUUAUAUCUCUUCUUAUGUAUUUGACAAUCUUGAUCUAUGAUUAAAAAGAAAGGGCUGUCAUUCUAAUAUUUUUACAUGACAUGGAAAGUAAUAGUUCAACUAACUGUUUGUUAUAAUAAUAAAGACCAGAAGCAAAAACCAAAGGCCAGGAUCCUAGAGUCUUUCAUGUUGACCUCUGUUCUAUUAUGAACUUUAAAAUCUGUUUUACAUCAGACACUGCAGGAAAUAGAAUAGGAGAACAUGGGAAAGGAAUAUAUCCUGCUAAGAUUGCCUAGAUCCAGGGGGAUUGGUGAUGUUACCAAAGAGAAACAAACAGCAGUUGAUGAGGGUUUUCAAUAUGAGUAAAAAUGCUUUGAUGUCAGAUGAUUUUCAAAAAGAGGAAGAAAGAUGCAGACUUUAGCAAGAAAAUAUCAAAACAAAACUCAGAUUGACUGAAGGAAAGAUGCAAGGAAAUGAGUAGGGGUAAAUCCACAGAGCAUAAAAAGUACUCGUAAGUCGUUUGUUAGAAUUCAUGGUGAUCAUUUCAAUCCAUGGUAAAAUUUUCUUAGUCAUAUGAAAAUUUUAACUAAACAUUCUUUUCAAAAAAGAAAGUGUGCUAAAUUUAGAGGAAUAUGCUCGAAAUAUGAUAAAUUGUUCAGAGACCACUUUAGGGUGGAUAUUCUGUAUUUCAUUAAAUUUUCAAAUAAAUAUUCUUCUUUUGCUUUGUGAAACAUCUUUGUAUAUUAUUAUGGCUUUUCUAGUUUCUAUCCCCUCUUCCACUCCUGUCAUUGCUUUCAAAACUGUUAUUAAGGUGAUGUUACUUACCCUUUCCUGACAAGGUUAAAAGCACUGAGUUAAUUGACCACUAGUUUCAAUGGAUGUGGUAUGGUAAUAAUUGCUGUAAUGAGUAAACAACUGUACAACUACAAAUACAAUGCCAGCAGAGCCUAUUUACAUGAACCAACAUUUAACACACACUAGUGAAAAUGAUUCCCUCCUGUGAUGCUACAUUCAACAGAAGGGUUAUAUCUGGGAGGUCGAAAGACAUGCCCAGAGUAAUUUACUCCACAUAAUACAUAGUUGUUGUUUCCAUAACCCUAAUCUUCCUUCUUUAGCUGGAAAGGAUGGAGCCAGUGAAAAGGGGCACAUAUGCACAUACUCUUGUUGCCCAUCUGGCAAACACCACCAAGCCAUUCAAGGUUUAUUUCAACCCUGACACAUUCUAUGGGGUCUUUCUGAACCUCAUUCCCCUUGGUAGAACUUAUUUCUCUCUUCCUUGCAUUUCCAAUCUGAGGACAGGAAAAAGAGAAUAAAUCCAGACCUCUCCUUUUAUUAUUAAUUAAUUUAAUUAUUUAUUACAUUUAUCUAUAAUUCUUUUUUUUUUUUUUCGGUACGCGGGCCUCUCACUGCUGUGGCCUCUCCCGUUGUGGAGCACAGGCUCCGGACGCGCAGGCUCAGUGGCCAUGGCUCACGGGCCCAGCCGCUCCAGCGGCAUGUGGGAUCUUCCCGGACCAGGGCACGAACCCGAGUCCCCUGCAUUGGCAGGCGGACUCUCAACCACUGCGCCACCAGGGAAGCCCUUAUCUAUAAUCCUUAAAUAUAUUUAUCUUUUGAUUCUUUGGCAGGGUAAGGCUCAUUUUUCUGCUUUACAUUGUCAUAACAAUCAAUAUUGUAUUUGGAGGGAAUUCAUAACAGUAGUCAUCAAAAACUGAACAGAGUGUGACUGCAUAUUUAAACUUGUGAAUAAGACAGAACAAGCUGACAUAAAAUAAACCUAACCCUAAAAUUUACCUUAACCUCAACUUUACCUUAACCUCAAAAGGGUAUACAUUUUGUUCUGUUUUUUUUUUUUGUUUUCUUGAAAUUAUUCAAAAUUUUCUACUAAGUAAAAAAGGGAGAAGAAAAGCAACAAUAUCUUGAGAAAUUGUUAAAUUAAUUUAUUAUUUAUUGAAUGGAUUCAAAUCUUGAAAAAAAUUCUGAUGCUGAACUGAUUUUGAAAAAUAAUCAUGUUUUACAUUAGAAAAGUUUAAAUUGCCAGUUUAAGCCUGUUGAAAAUAUUUCUAUUGCAUUCUUAGUAAUUUCCCAAGGAAACAUUUCUAAAGGCUUAGCGAAACAUUUACAAUUUUAUAAAAUCUUUUAAAUUAAUUUAUAACUUAGCUAUGAGCUUCUUUUUGGGAGACUCAAAACAGUGGGUGACCUUAUAUCCAUAAUGUGUGAGCUUAAAUGUUUUAUUACAGCAGAGUGAAUUAGGAUGGAAUUACUCAACUUUCGAUACCAGCAUUUCAUUUAACUGCAGUCUGCUUGGUGCUUUACUUAAACCAAUUUAAUUCCUUUUCAUACAAUUGCAAGGUCACUUUUGUAUGUUCUAACUGUUUUGUUUUAUUUUCAACUGUAGAAUGGCUUCAGGUAGAUGGCAUGAGAAAAUACUGACCAAAUUGAAUAAUUCUCUUGGCAUUGUAUCCCAUUUGAUGUUUAAGAAGAUCGACGUUUUCUCCUAAUCUUGUUCUAGAGGCUGGGAAGUCCAAGAUCUGGGUGCCAGCAGACUUUGUGUCUGGUGAGAGCCCACUUUCUGGCUCGUAGAUGGCUGUCUUCUUGAUUCAUCCUCACAUGACAGAAGAACCACUUGAUAAAUAUUUUCUAUCUUCAACUUCUGAAGUCUUACUGAUGGCUUUUUAAGAAUACCUGUGCUCAUACCAUCAAAAAGAUUUAAGUGGUGGCGCAGUGGUUAAGAAUCCACCUGCCAAUUCAGGGACAUGGGUUUGAUCCCUGGUCUGGGAAGAUCCCACAUGCUGCGGAGCAACUAAGCCUGUGCGCCACAACUACUGAGCCUGUGCUCUAGAGCCCACGAGCCACAACUACUGAGUCCGCGUGCCAUAGCUACUGAAUACCGCAUGCCUAGAGUCUGUGCUUGGCAACAAGAGAAGCCACCGCAAUGAGAAGCCUGCACACCGCAAUGAAGAGUAGCCGCCGCUCGCCACAACUAGAGAAAGUCUGCGUGCAGCAACAAAGACCCAACACAGCCACAAAUAAAAAUAAUUACAAAAAAAAGAUUUAAUAAGGCUCCUCUGUACAUAUUGUGAUGAUAACACUGAAAGUUAUGAAAACUGGCACAUUGAUAUAGUGAAUAUAAUUGUUUCCUUCGGGGAUAUAAUAAUAUGAGAAGGAGCACUUUGGGGGAAACCAGCCACCAUGCAAGAAGACUAUCCUGAGAUUGCCAUGUUCUGAAUCCUGCUCUGUGGGGAAACAGUGGCUGUCAUGAGAACAUUCCAGCAACCCUAUGUAGUGAAGAAGUGAGUCUUUCUGCCAACAACCCCUGAGGACCUGAGGCCUCCUGCCAACAACCAUGAGAGAGAAUCACCUCGGAAGUGAAUCCUGUGGCCCUGACCCUACUACAGAUGACCACAGUCCACGCCAACAGCCUGACUGCAAAUUCGACUGACUCUCAGAGCCGCCCAGCUAAGAUGUGAUAACUGGAGCUGCCUAGAGAACAUGCAACGCCUCAGGGUCACGUCACUGAGCUGCUCAACUAGCACCAGUAAGUGCUCAUCAGAGCCUUCUUGUUAUAUAACAAAAACAAACCCAUGUUUGUUUAAGGCUCCAUAUUUGGGCUAUCUAUUACUUCUUGCACAAACAUUCCUAAUAGAUAUGGAGUGGUAUACACUAUUCCAGGUAAGAGAAAAACCCUGAAAAUGCACUCAUCCUGCGCAUAAAAAGUUUAAACUUCCAUGACUGAUAGUAUUUGAAUAUAACUUAGUCUGAUUCCAAGUCUAAUCUUUGGCUAAUAAAUCCUGAUGUGUUGCCUGAGAGAAUCGGGCUUAUUGUUUCCUUUAAGGUCUCAUGUAUUAAUCUUCUCCAUAUAGUUGUAUCUGAGAUCAUCUGCUGAAUAUAGGGUGGAAUGAAGAUUAUGAGAUUGUGUGAAGUCCUGAAUAAUCUCUAUUUGGAAUGUUCAAUGGAAGCCCUGGACCCACCCAUGAAAUGAAAUAAAAAGCUGGAUAAGCAACUGUGGAGGUCAGUUGGAAGUUAGUAAACUAGUAUUUAUUACUUUCGAGAAUUAAGUUCUAUACUCAACUGUGGUGACUGGGUUUAAGUUAGUUCGUGUAAUUUUCUUACUUCUGGUACAUUUGGAAGGGAUAGACGACAGUAUUAAAAUUGUUUUAUAUAAGAGAUGAAGGAAAAACAUGACCUGGGCUUCAGUUUAAGGGAUUGAUAAUGUUAAUACUUCUGACUGAAAGGAAGCUAUUUGAAAGGAGUGUUUGUCUUGGAGGGAAAGAGAUAAUUUCCCUGUUGGAUGUAUAUGCAUUUGAGUACCCCUUAUGUGGACUUAGUAAGCUGCUGAGAACAGGCACAGAGACAAAGGCAGUGGGUUAUGAAUGGAGUUUGACAUUAAGAAGUAAUCAGGAAGAAAAGCAACAACAACUAGAAAAGUGGCUGAUUUAAUUAGACCGGCAAGCUAAAAUUGCAGGUAUCAAGAACAGAUGUGUGAGCUUCCAUAAGGGGAAGGCAGCAGUGUGAGGAACGAAUAUCGUGCAUGGAGAUAGAGCAGCAGUUAGGAAGAUGAAGUGUCAAGAAAGCCAAGGGAGGGGACUUCCCUGGUGGUCCAAUGGUUAAGACUCCGCGCUCCCAAUGCAGGGGGGCUGGGUUGGAUCCCUGGUCAGAGAACUAGAGCUUGCAUGUCACAACUAAAAGAUCCCGCACGCGGCAACGAAACUAAGACGCGGCGCAGUCAAAUAAGUUUAAAAACAAAAGGCCGAGGGAUACUGGUUGGGGACUCGGGAGAGCAACACAGUCAAGGGUAGGGCUGGGAUUCAGGAAAGACCCUGCUGUUAGAAGGCUUUGGUGACCUGUAGGAGAGUAGAGUUCUGGUUGUGGUGCGGAUGGUGAAGAGCCUUCAUUCCAGGAGUGGGGGAAUGAGUGCAAGGAGAGAGAAUAGACAAAGCCUGCCCAAUAAACAGCCGAUUCCAAAAAAUGCAUGUGCAGGAUUGACGUGAAGUUUCAGGAGGAUGGAAGGGGUUUAUUCUCAAUGUGGCAGCUGUUGGAGGGUGCAGAUCCUGGAAGCAUCAACUCCGUUUGACUUAGCAAUUUGGGAUAAUAUAUUUAAAGUCCUUUGCUUGUUUCACUGUGGUAAUUGCUUCUGAAUUUUUGAAAAAAAUGUGUGAAUAUUUUUGAGCUGUACAAAGGUUAUAAAAAAUUAUUUACUUCACUUUAUAAUAAUUGCCCUGAAUUACAAGGCACAAUUAAGGUGCAGAAAGUUGCAAGUAUUCAGCUCUUAAUGAGAAAGUUUCUUCCUACUUUUAAAGAUCAAACAAAAAUUUUUACAAUAUGUUUAGACAGAAAAAUGUGUUUUGUUCAUGGAAAAAUUUUCAGUGUAUUUUUAAACUUAUGCUUUUGUAUCCAACUUUAUGAAAUGUAACUAUUCUUUGCUAUCUACAUUCUAAUCAUUAUUGUAUGGCAUCAGAAAGCUGCAAAAACAUCUUAUUAUCAUGGCUCCGCACAAAAUUGCCUUUAUAGGAUUGAACACAAUAAUUUGAUUUUAAAAUAAUGCCACUACUUUCAUCUAGUAUGUAUGUAGAAAGUAAUCAUGAACAAAAUAUCUACAUUAAAUAUUAAAAUAAAGACAAUAAAAUGACUGAAAAAAUGAUCCCAUUCCUUAUGCUAUUCAUUAUUUUUUAUUUAAGGUUCACAUGAUUAAUUCUUCUUAGGACGCCCAUGCUAAGAAAACAAAGAAAGUAGCAAAACCAUUAAAACAGUGUAUGCCAUGUGUUUUGUUUCUGAUAAAUAAACAAAAACAAGGAGACACAAUCUCUUUUUGUCUAAUGGGAGCUCUAAAACCACCAUGUUCCUUGAUUCCCCUCAGUUCUCGGGAAGCUCAGUUGAAAUUUUUUGAAAGAGCCUCCAGCAGGUUAGCUUUUUUUGGCAUGAUUAUUUCUCCAUCCUGGCUUUACUACUUGGCUUUUCUAUUCUUUCUCAUGCUUUAUUGGUUUACCAUUCUAUGAUAUCUUCUUUAAUAUCAUCAGUUUUCUUAUAGCCAUUUUGAAAGGGGGCAAAACAUAAAUAAUGAAUUAUAUCAUUGUCAAAUCAUACUA